ensembl:lncRNA
UAUAGAGAAAGCUGAGCACCGAAGAAUUGAUGCUUUUGAACUGUGGUGUUGGAGAAGACUCUUGAGAGUUCCUUGGACUACAAGGAGAUCCAACCAGUCCAUCCUAAAGAAAAUCACUCCUAAAUGUUCAUUGGAAGGACUGAUGUUGAAGCUGAAACUCCAAUACUUUGGCCAUCUGAUGCGAAGAGCUGACUCAUUUGAAAAGACCCUGAUGCUGGGAAAGAUUGAAGAUCACUUCGGGCACGGAGGAAGAGCAUGGGCAGCUGGCCCAGGACCCACCAUAUCACCUGAGCCAAGCAGGAGAGGCCCCUGCUCACCCUUGCAAAUGCGCUUGCCUUUGUCAGAUUGUGAGUUUGGAAGGAGAAGAAGCUGGGCAGAAAUCACCGAAACCCUCUUGGGUCCGCUCUCCCGUGUUGUAAAUCUCACGGAACAGGCCAUCUGGUCCAGGUCUGCCACAGUGGGUGUCAACAGUCAAUACAGGGAAGUAGCAUGAGAAUGUGGCUGAGUUCCUCGGCCUUUCUUAGGACACAGUCAUCUUCGUUUUGCAUUUAAGGCAAGCUGAAGUGCUUAACAGCGGUGAGGUGCGGUCCAAAGCCUCUGUGUGCUUGAACUCACUGGAUCCUCUUGACAACCCCACAUGACAGUAGGUUACGGCAGCAUCGCCGGAGCUGUUUAAAAUGUAACAAACCAACAAACUCUCAGGGAGCUGAAGGAUGCCUACCCCUGCCAUGGUCCCUGCCAUGCAGCCAGGAAAGUUGUUAAAUGCCAGCCCAUCUGGUCUGCUUGGAACCCUUGGAUGGAAAGAGGACUCACCCCUCCAAACAUCUGAACUUGAUCUCUACAAACGAGAAGUCUUGGGACCAGAAAGCCCCCAGGGGGUUUGCCUGAAGAGAGCCCCCAGGUGGGGAGCCUGUAAGAAGAACCGCAUGCUUAUGUGAGCACUUGGAAGCUUCCUUGGCCAGGUCCCAUAGUUGUGCUGUCUUUGCUCAAG